GAAUGAACCCUGGGGUGUAUUUAUUAUGUCUUGCAACGGAAACACGUUAAAGAAUCAAACGUACACGAACAGCGCAAUCGAUGAAAAACGGGGCGGGACCUACCUGAAUUUGUCCAAUAGAAACUAGUUUUCGUUGAACAAAAAUGUAUAUUUGGAGUAAAUGGUUAACGUUGCUAAACGCUUUGGAACAUAAUCGGCGUACUUAAUACAGCCGUGGAGUAUCUAUAAACACACCAUUUUGUGAAUGUUAAACUCAGUUGAAAAAUAAUGGAGUGGGUUGCAGUUAUGCCAAGAGUUUGCAAUCUGUUAUGCUGUGGUGGUUGACAGCAACCACUAUGUGCCACUUCACUUGAUGCACCGUCUGUCUGACCAACUCGUUCGCUAAACACUGAAAAACGAACGUUAAGCCAAAAUAUGGCUGUUAACUAACAUUAUCAACCAGUCACACAGUUCAGCAGCCCCGGGCCUGUACUUACUCCAGCUUUCCUCCCCUGCCUCCCCCUCCGACUUACCCUGGUAGAGGUGAUAUCCAUCAUAACCUCCUGAAAAGCAGCAGUCUCUUCAGCCUGACGUUGGAUUUGACAGACUACAUUUUGGCAACAUCUGGGAACAGAUUACACAAAAGGUUUGUGAAAGGAAGGAACACAUAGGAGUCGACAAGUAAGUUUACACCCAGGACCUCUUUUUGGAUAAAUCCGUUUGAAUUCAAUCACUUUUUGACAGCAUCCCUUUUGAUUUAAACAAAACGUUCCUACAUGUUUUCCCAUGGAAGAAGUGGUCAGAAAGUGACCUCAAUCCCAAAACAUUCAGGAGAUAAGUGCUCAAAAUGUCUUCAUCACUGGAAAAAGUAAACGGUUCAG